GGAGGGUAUUUCGUCCCGGUGGGCGGCGCGGGCUUCAAACCCGUUGGAUCGUCGAAAGCCGAUCGGCAGGUUCGACUCCUGUUACCCUCCG
rnacentral:tRNA from 1 species